rnacentral:lncRNA from 1 species
CAAUACAUAGAAAGGCUAGAUAACCAAAAGGUUAGAUUAUCCUUUACUCUUUUUUUUUGUUUUAUAAAUUUGCAUUUGAUUUUGGACUGUUUUUAAAUUUGGUAUAUUUGUAGUUGGGACUGUUUUAAUUUGGUUUUUGCUUAAUGCUGCUGCAAGUUAUUUUUUGCUGGAAGUUCUGCUUAAUGUUGCUGGUUAAUGUUAGGGGUUAAUGUUGCUGCA